CACGUAGGAGGCGAGCGUUAUCCGGAUUUACUGGGUGUAAAGCGCGUGCAGGCGGCGCGGAAAGUUGGAUGUGAAAGCUCCUGGCUUAACUGGGAGAGGUCGUUCAAUACUUCCGUGCUUGAGUAUGGGAGAGGGAGGUGGAAUUCCGGGUGUAGUGGUGAAAUGCGUAGAUAUCCGGAGGAACACCAGUGGCGAAGGCGGCCUCCUGGCCCAUUACUGACGCUCAGACGCGAAAGCUAGGGUAGCAAACGGGAUUAGAGACC
rnacentral:rRNA from 1 species